rnacentral:lncRNA from 1 species
UGGGCCUGCGGGAAUCAGGGCCGAACGGAGCCGCGAGAGCGUCCGGAGCUCAGAAAUCUCGCCCGCGACGACCCCGGGAGGGCGGCGAGUUCAACCAGAGUUUGAGGCACAAAGGGAGAGAUAAUAAUUCAGGGCACCUCAAGAUUUUCCCUUCAACCUCCGACCGAAUGGAGCCUUCGGUACCUCUGUGCCUAUUGGCCAUGCUGCAGGAAAGCUCAGUUAUGAAAUCUUCCACUCUGAGAUCUUGGCAGAUCAAAAACUAUACGGAGCAUUUGGUGAGGUACCAUUUAUGUGAGGCAGUCCCAAAUGUUUGGCACAUUUAUGGGAAGCAUCCUGAUGAAGGAUUUACAGUGGUUUCUUCUAACUGGGAUCACUCCUAGGUCUAGUACUAAUAAAGAGAAGAAGAUCGGAGCAGCUUUGACAUGAAUGGAUCCAUCUGGCCUGGUCUCCAUACAAGUUUCCUAUGAGUUUGGUCACAGACCCUUCAAGCAAUUGUUUAAAUGAGAAGAUGCUACAUUUUCAAGCAGAGACUGAUUCACUGUAGCUUAAUAAAUUUUUACUGAGCCCAUAC